rnacentral:lncRNA from 1 species
UAUAAAGCUCUCUAAGUGAUACAAAAUCCAUAGUAUAAAGUACUGAUCCAGGCAAGCUAAUUAAACAAGCCAUUCAGAUACUAGUUCUAUGGCCAAGCCAAGUUUUUGGCAAUGGAAUUCUCCAGUUCCAUAUGUCUACUGCUUUUUUGCCUUCCUCUUGGUGCUCCUUGCCUGUGCUUUAGUCAUUCUGUUCUGCUCUCAUCCAUUUUCCUCAGAAUCCAAAAGCGAUGCAGAAGAAAAGGAAACAAGAAACUUGAGCGCUGUAGAUCCAGAGACGAUCACAGUAUUAGUAGUCUUGCCAGGACAUGCCAAUCCCAUGUACGUAGCAAAGCCCCUGGCUUCUAGUACUGCUGCUUCUGCAGCUAACCACCUGUAAAUCAUGUAUAGCUUUUUAGCUUUGAAGAUGGAUGUUUGACUGUAACUUUGGAACGUUUUCACCAUGUUUGUAUUGCAAUACAAAGAAUCUGACCGAAUUUUCCACGGCUUUUCAAAACAGUGGCAUCGGGAUUUUCAAUCCUGAUUCAUGAAUGUCAAGAAAUCUAUCAUGUCAUAUCUAAGAUGUUUGCACUUUCCAGCAUGCUUGUCUAAAAAUUCAUCUGCAUUUUUCAUUCUAUAUAUGUCUUCUAAUCUAAGUGGAUAAAUAGUACAGGUACUUUACUAAGUCAGGAUUUACAGCUGGCAUCGAUCAUUUCACACUACUGUGUUUCUAAAGAUUUUUAUAGCAUCUGAGUCGCUUUUUUUUUUUCUUUUUCUUUGAAGAUCAAUCAAGAUCUUAUCCAUUGUUGCAGUCUGAUUAAUCUUUUCUGCAUUGAUAAUGUAUAAAGAAUUCGAAUUCGAUACAUACCUGAUGCUACUUCAUAUUAGCUUGUGUUGUAGUAUUAGAUUAUUUUGCAUUGAUACAUUGUUGCAGUCUGAUUAAUCUUUUCUACAUUGAUAAUAUAUAAAGAAUUUGAAUUUGAUACAUAUCGGAUGCCACUUCAUAUUGGCUCGUGUUGUAGUAUAAGAUUAUUUGACUCUUGGAUGUUGGAGGAAAAAGUGUUAAAAUAUACGAAGUAGGAGGUACAGGACUUUUUUUUUUUUUUUUGUCAUCACAGAGAGUAUCCCUUGUGAACUAAUUUCCCUGUGCCUGUGCAUCUGCCUCCCAAGAUACUCGAGACGGUAGAAGGAAUCGAACCACAAUCAUAUGAUGUCAGAACCUAACGAGGCAACCCAACACCAGCCGAGCCGACCUGAGGGCAGGUACAAGACUUUUCUUAGGACAGCGAAAUUUUACUUGGUUUCAUUGAAUUUGAUUGAGCCAUUGUCAGAAGUAACAAUUGUGGUUUGCUAAUUCAAUUUAACCUCUUCUUUUGCAUGUUCAUUUUCACACAUUUCCUUGACCAAUCUUUCUCCUCAAUACUGUAGCUCCGCUCCAAUCCUGUUGCUAUUCGGGCACUGAACUACUGUUACAUCUAAUGUUUGUCGUGGUCAAAAAAACUGUACUCAACAGCGAGCGGCACUUACCACUAGGCCCAACAUCCCAUGAUUGAAAUAUUAAAAGAGAGCAUGACUAUUAAUUACCCAAUUAUUUCAUGUAAAUCACGCAGUAUUAAGUCAAGUAAUUGACAAUUGGAUAUUUUUGCUUAAAAAGUACAAUUUCCAUGCA